rnacentral:lncRNA from 1 species
AUUUUAAAAUUGCAUCUUCUUAGCAGUACCUGCUCUUUCAUAAGUUUUCUAGCUCCAUCUUCUUUUCCAGGGAUAUUAUAACCAAUUAAUGGAAAGAAACAUUUAAGACAACACCUUCCUCUAUGUUUACAUCAGGAUGCAUUUUUGUAAUUGAGUAUGUAUAUUAAUUAUAUUACAACAGUCACUCUUUGUUCAGUGUCUCUCAACCUGUGACCUGUGACUAUUCAGACUAGCCCC